rnacentral:lncRNA from 1 species
GGUCUGGGACUCACCAACACCCAUGAUGGAGACAUCCUUUGAUUGUGUCAUGAUUGUAUUCAAUUCCUUCUGUCUUUGUUUUUAGAACGAGAUGAAAUGUCCACGUCUCUAGAGUCCUAGAAAUGGUAAACACCCGCACAAAACUACCAACAAGAAACUGAUUGAGGCUGGGGAGGUGGGAAAGAAAGCCUGCUAUGUAACAACGGGCCUUCCAGUUCUAAUUUGAAUGCACUUUUCAUUUUUCAGUCUUGCUUCUUUUCUAGCUUCACCCAUCCCUGGAUAAAAUCUAAUUUAGAAACAAUGCUUGGGAGCACAUAUUCUUAGAUGACAAAAGAAGUCAUGUGAUGCAGCAUGUUAUCCUGAAUGCUGUGAGUUUUCUAUGUGAUCUAGAACUCCUGGUUAAAGUGGGAGAAUUUGGCUCCAAGAGCCUAUAUGACCAAGGUUUGGUGAUCAGUAAAGAGAUGAUAGAAUGGUCUAUAGGAUCAAUGAGGUAUCACAUUUUUUAAGAUUAGAUGUAUCCCUUGUCAAAAUAUUAGAGCAAAUCUUCGUAUGAAAUGAAGUGUGCAUGCCUCU